rnacentral:rRNA from 1 species
GACGAGCGCUGGCGGCGUGCCUAAUACAUGCAAGUAGAACGCUGAAGGAGGAGCUUGCUUCUCUGGAUGAGUUGCGAACGGGUGAGUAACGCGUAGGUAACCUGCCUGGUAGCGGGGGAUAACUAUUGGAAACGAUAGCUAAUACCGCAUAAGAGUAGAUGUUGCAUGACAUUUACUUAAAAGGUGCAAUUGCAUCACUACCAGAUGGACCUGCGUUGUAUUAGCUAGUUGGUGAGGUAACGGCUCACCAAGGCAACGAUACAUAGCCGACCUGAGAGGGUGAUCGGCCACACUGGGACUGAGACACGGCCCAGACUCCUACGGGAGGCAGCAGUAGGGAAUCUUCGGCAAUGGACGGAAGUCUGACCGAGCAACGCCGCGUGAGUGAAGAAGGUUUUCGGAUCGUAAAGCUCUGUUGUAAGAGAAGAACGAGUGUGAGAGUGGAAAGUUCACACUGUGACGGUAUCUUACCAGAAAGGGACGGCUAACUACGUG